AGCAAUCUGCCUUGGAGUGGGGAAUAACGGCUGGAAACAGCCGCUAAUACCGCAUGACGCGUCUGGGAGGCAUCUCUCUGGACGCCAAAGAUUUAUCGCUCUGAGAUGAGCUCGCGUCUGAUUAGCUAGUUGGCGGGGUAACGGCCCACCAAGGCGACGAUCAGUAGCCGGACUGAGAGGUUGGCCGGCCACAUUGGGACUGAGAUACGGCCCAGACUCCUACGGGAGGCAGCAG
rnacentral:rRNA from 1 species